rnacentral:rRNA from 1 species
UACGUAGGGGGCGAGCGUUAUCCGGAUUUACUGGGCGUAAAGCGCGUGUAGGUUGUUGCGUAAGUUAGUUGUGAAAUCCCUCGGCUUAACCGAGGAACUGCAGCUAAUACUGCGUGGCUUGAGUGGCAGAGAGGAAAGUGGAAUUCCCGGUGUAGUAGUGAAAUGCGUAGAUAUCGGGAGGAACACCAGUGGCGAAGGCGACUUUCUGGCUGCUAACUGACACUGAGACGCGAAAGCUAGGGGAGCGAACGGG